UGUCCCCCACUAUAGUAGUGGGGGACAUAUUGUUUUUGCCCUGUCUGUUGGUUGGUUGGUUGGUUGGUCUGUUGGUCUGUUGGUUGGUCUGUUUGCGCCAACUUUAACAUUUUGCAAUAACUUUUGCUAUAUUGAAUAUAGCAACUUGAUAUUUGGCAUGCAUGUGUAUCUCAUGGAGCUGCACAUUUUGAGUGGUGAAAGGUCAAGGUCAAGGUCAUCCUUCAAGGUCAGAGGUCAAAUAUAUGUGCCCAAAAUCGCUUAUUUUAUGAAUACUUUUGCAAUAUUGAAGAUAGCAACUUGAUAUUUGGCAUGCAUGUGUAUCUCAUGGAGCUGCACAUUUUGAGUGGUGAAAGGUCAAGGUCAAGGUCAUCCUUCAAGGUCAGAGGUCAAAUAUAUGUGGCCAAAAUCGCUCAUUUUAUGAAUACUUUUGCAAUAUUGAAGAUAGCAACUUGAUAUUUGGCAUGCAUUUGUAUCUCAUGGAGCUGCACAUUAUGAGUGGUGAAAGGUCAAGGUCAUCCUUCAAGGUCAGAGGUCAAAUAUAUGUGGCCCAAAUCACUUAUUUUAUAAAUACUUUUGCAAUAUUGAAGAUAGCAACUUGAUAUUUGGCAUGCAUGUGCAUCUCAUGGAGCUGCACAUUUUGAGUGGUGAAAGGUCAAGGUCAAGGUCAUCCUUCAAGGUCAGAGGUCAAAUAUAUGUGGCCCAAAUCGCUUAUUUUAUGAAUACUUUUGCAAUAUUGAAGAUAGCAACUGGAUAUUUGGCAUGCAUGUGUAUCUCAUG